rnacentral:rRNA from 1 species
UACGUAGGAGGCAAGCGUUAUCCGGAAUGACUGGGCGUAAAGGGUGCGUAGGUGGUUUGACAAGUUAGUAGCGCAACUCCGGAGCUUAACUUCGGAACUACUACUAAAACUGUUGGACUUGAGUGCAGGAGGGGCAAUCGGAAUUCCUAGUGUAGCGGUGGAAUGCGUAGAUAUUAGGAGGAACACCAGUGGCGAAGGCGGAUUGCUAGACUGUAACUGACACUGAGGCACGAAAGCGUGGGGAGCAAACAGG